CCGAAAGUAGUGUUUUUGGAAAAGUAAGAAUACGAAUUUCAUUUUUAUGUUUCAAAUGGCUAAACCAAACGCUUAAAUGAAAUUUACAAUUUUUUCCAGAAUAAGAUUCCUGAAUAAACCAAACACCUGAAUAGGAUUACUUGGGUAUCAAAUUCCUGGGAAUAUGAUUCCCAUUCUUGGUCCUUGAUUCUUGACAUACAAUCAAAGCC
rnacentral:lncRNA from 1 species